rnacentral:rRNA from 1 species
CGGAACACGUACAGAACCUUCCUUCGAGCGGGGAAUAGCCCAGAGAAAUUUGGAUUAAUACCCCAUAGUAUAUUGGAGUGGCAUCACUUUGAUAUUAAAGAUUUAUCACUUGAAGAUGGCUGUGCGGCUGAUUAGAUAGUUGGCGGGGUAACGGCCCACCAAGUCUGCGAUCAGUAACUGGUGUGAGAGCACGACCAGUCACACGGGCACUGAGACACGGGCCCG